GAGGCUCUGUGCACUUGCAUGCGUCACGUGACACCUCCAGGACAAGGGUUCUUGUCACCAGGUCAUAUUCGACCCCUGUGCAAUGUUUCUCAAUACCUUCAUGUGCAGCCACACCUCCGCUGACCUGUGAGCCUCUGCUGCCUGCUCAUUUCAGCCCCUCUCCCUCCUGGUCAUCGCCACUGCUGUCUUAGUGUGCUACCCCUGCGUGACAAAUUACCAGAGGCUUGGUGGCUUGGAAUGCAUCCACUUGCCAGUGCGUCAUUAUGUUGGGUGCCACCCACAUGGGCUAGAUGGGCUCUCCGUGUGGGGUCUCCCACAAGGCCAAGGCCUAAGUGCUGUCCAGGAGCAGAGGUGCACUUUCAAUCUCAUUGUGCUGUCGGAAGAAUUCGGCUCCUUGCGCUUGUGGGUCUGAGGCCUGCGCGUCCUUGCUGGCUGUGCAAAGGGUGGAUCGUGUCUCAGGCUGUCCUUGGGUCCUUUCUCUGCCCCGCAUUCCUGCUUCAAGCCAGCAGUGGAGAACUUCCUCGUACCCAGUGCCCGUGGUGCUUCUACUCUCUGACUUCUUCUGCAGCUGUAUGGAGAAAAUUCUGUUUUUUGAGAGCUGGUGAUUAAUUUUGGACCACUGAGGCCCUGAUGAUUCCUGUUCACUCAGUGUAGCCCCAGGCUGGACCCCUUCCUAGAGCAAGGACAGGCCCCAGCACAUCACAGCAAGGGCCCUUCAGUGUCCAGGGAGGAGCAGGCGGGCCUGAGGUGCUGCCUUGAUUGGGGGGCAUAGUUUGUGUCUAGCAAAGGCCUGCUGCUUUCUCCCUAAACAAGAUCAUGGGUGAAUCCAGAGACACACCGGGCUCCAGGCUCACAGGGUCACUGCCUGUGCUGACUUCCGCUCUCUCCUUGCCUGGCACGUGGCUGGUGCCAGUGAGCAUCCCGUGUCCCUCCUGCCUGGCUUCUGGCGGCACUGUCAGCGACAGCUGCAUGUCACCCGUGCCAGGUCAGUCCCACGAGGAGGAUGCCGUUCUGCAGGAAGCUCGAUUUUCAAGGUGCAACUGCAAACUAAGAAGCUGGAUUCCAUUCUGCUUGUUGAAGUCUUUAUUAAGAGACAAUGUUUGAAGCCAAACUUGCCCACUGGUCUGUGGUCUGCUUACUCUCAGAUAUUAAUCUCUGCCUACAGUGGAGCAAAGCUCUUUUCCUCAUGAGAGGAGUCCAUUUGUGUGAAUUUAGUCCACUCAGGUGCAGUCAACUUUAUAAGACUAUUAUUGCCUUUUCCUUUGGAGGAAAUAGAAAACAAAAAGAAAAGGCAUUGGUAACUUAUUGUGUGGCCUGUUCACAGGAAGGGAGACAAAUUGUCUUUCCAAUUCUUUAAACAUCUACAAAGCUCUACUGAAAUAGAACUUCAUAUUACAGGUUGCAGUUAUUACCUUAGGAGGUAAUAGGGUUUCUACUUUCUUAUGAUAAAAGCUUCCCGGGUCAAAUCCACCCCCUGCAUAAUAUCUUGGCAUGAUGUGCAGAAUUCUCUGUUAUGUAGUGAGUGAAUGGCAACUUUUCCUUCAUGCAUUCCAAUUUUUAGGCAAAGAUAAUUCCACGAGGGCUAAGAAUGCAAGCUGGUGUUUUCCUUAGACAUAGUGAGCCAGGCAGUAAAACACAUACUAUUUUUAGGUUGCUUGGUUUUAUUAUAUGCCACGCUACUUUAUGCAGAAAACUUUCCUAAAACAUGAACAUGAAUAAAUACUGUAAUUCUUCACUACCAACCUAAUAUUUCUAAAAGAAUGUAUAGUCAAAAAUAAAUAAGAGCAAGCUUUGAGAGAGAGCUCUUUUGUCUCUGUCUUGGUUACUUUCCUUGUCGCUGGAACGCAAGGCUGGACACCCACAAUUUAAAGCAGGAGAGUUUAUUUUGGCUCACGAUUUUCGUCUACAGUCGACAGGCUCCAAAGCAGGAUGACGCGGUGAAAGGGCCCGGUGGAG
ensembl:lncRNA